rnacentral:rRNA from 1 species
CGUAGGUGGCGAGCGUUGUCCGGAAUUACUGGGUGUAAAGGGCGUGCAGGCGGGGAUGCAAGUCGGAUGUGAAAUACCGGUGCUUAACGCCGGGCUGCAUCUGAAACUGUAUUUCUUGAGUGUCGGAGAGGAAAGUGGAAUUCCCGGUGUAGCGGUGAAAUGCGUAGAUAUUGGGAGGAACACCAGUGGCGAAGGCGGCUUUCUGGACGGCAACUGACGCUGAGGCGCGAAAGCGUGGGGAGCAAACAGGAUU